GGUUUCUCUGUGUAGCCCUGGCUGUCCUGGAACUCACUCUGUAGACCAGGCUGGCCUCGAACUCAGAAAUCUGCCUGCCUCUGCCUCCCGAGUGUUG
rnacentral:miRNA from 1 species